AUUGAACGCUGGCGGCAGGCCUAACACAUGCAAGUCGAGCGGAGCGGCGGACGGGUGAGUAAUGCCUAGGAAUCUGCCUGGUAGUGGGGGAUACAGUCAGGAAACGGGCGCUAAUACCGCAUACUAUCAGAUGAGCCUAGGUGGGAUUAGCUAGUGGGUGGGGUAAAGGCCUACCAAGGCGACGAUCAGUAACUGGUCUGAGAGGAUGAUCAGUCACACUGUAACUGAGACACGGUCCAGACUCCUACGGGAGGCAGCAGGUGUGAAUAUUGGACAAUGGGCGAAAGCCUGAUCCAGCCAUGCCGCGUGUGUGAAGAAGGUCUUCGGAUUGUAAAGCACUUUAAGUUGGGAGGCGUUACCAACAGAAUAAGCACCGGCUAACUUCGUGCCAGCAGCCGCGGUAAUUC
rnacentral:rRNA from 1 species